rnacentral:lncRNA from 1 species
AGACAGGCAAGCUUUUUCAUUUCGACACUUUAGGCUGUCACCCUGCUAGCUUGCAGCUUGCUUCCUUCUUCCUUCUCAGGGAGAGUUCAGCUUUCAGCCUUGUUUUUGCUUCGGAAAGAUAACAAUGUAUCAUUUUCUUGUGUCUUUUUUUACAGUCCCCCACCCCAAGUGGGGGUUCAGAGCCUGGGCUCAGGGCAAAGCAGGCAGUUUAAGCUGCCUUUCGUCUCCCGUGGGUUUUUCCAGAAGGUAUCCGGGUGUGGUUUCUUUGUUUCAAUCCUGCUUGGGCUUGCAGAUCUUCCCACAUCUGUAAGCCAUGCCUUCUCUUGGAUUUAGAAGUUCUUAAUGGUUAGUCCUCAAACACAGCUCCAGCACUUUCUCCGUUUCCCUCUUGCUGGGCUGCAGUUACACCUGCCCACGUGGUAGGGUGUUCCCUGGUAAGCCACCCUCUUCUGUUCCCUUAUAUGCUUUAGUUCUGACCUUUGCUUGCCGAUCCCCAGUCUUUAGCCCAGAAUGCUACUACAUCUAAAACAAUGUUUGUUCAGGUUCCACAAUUAAGUCCUUAACUCAUUAGGGGCUGAUCCCACAGCUGGUGAGAUCCAGGUCUGAUUUCAUUCGUUUGUACACAGACAUCCAACUUUCCCAGCGGUUUGUUAAAAAGCCCACCCACUACCGAUCUUAGCAUGUUUGUGUGGUUCCUUCUAGACUGUCUGCUACAUUCCAAUGUCUGCAUCUCUCUCUCUCUCUCUCUCUCUCUCUCUCUCUCUCUCUCUCUCUCUCUCUCUCUCUCUCUCUCUCUCUC